GCAGCAGUGGGGAAUAUUGCACAAUGGGCGCAAGCCUGAUGCAGCCAUGCCGCGUGUAUGAAGAAGGCCUUCGGGUUGUAAAGUACUUUCAGCAGUGAGGAAGGUGGGUAUGUUAAUAGCAUACUCAUUUGACGUUAGCUGCAGAAGAAGCACCGGCUAACUCCGUGCCAGCAGCCGCGGUAAUACGGAGGGUGCGAGCGUUAAUCGGAAUUACUGGGCGUAAAGCGCAUGCAGGUGGUUUGUUAAGUCAGAUGUGAAAGCCCGGGGCUCAACCUCGGAAUUGCAUUUGAAACUGGCAAACUAGAGUACUGUAGAGGGGGUAGAAUUUCAGGUGUAGCGGUGAAAUGCGUAGAGAUCUGAAGGAAUACCGGUGGCGAAGGCGGCCCCCUGGACAGAUACUGACACUCAGAUGCGAAAGCGUGGGGAGCAAACAGGAUUAGAUACCCUGGUAG
rnacentral:rRNA from 1 species